UACAGAGGGUGCGAGCGUUAAUCGGAUUUACUGGGCGUAAAGGGUGUGUAGGUGGCUUAACAAGUCGGUUGUGAAAUCCCCGGGCUUAACCUGGGAAUUGCUUCCGAGACUGUUAGGCUAGAGUACGGUAGAGGGCGGUGGAAUUUCCGGUGUAGCGGUGAAAUGCGUAGAUAUCGGAAGGAACACCAAUGGCGAAGGCAGCCGCCUGGGCCUGUACUGACACUGAGACACGAAAGCGUGGGGAUCAAACAGG
rnacentral:rRNA from 1 species